GAGUUUGAUCCUGGCUCAGACCGAAUCCUGGCGGCAUGCAUAACACAUGCAAGUCGAACGAGAUCUUCCAAUCUAGUGGCGCACGGGUGAGUAACGAGUGGAAAUCUGCCAUUCAGUCCGGAAUAACGUUUGGAAACGAACGGUAAUACUGUCUAUGCCAUACGGGGGAAAGGUCCGCCGCAGAAAGAGGAGUCCGCGUCAGAUUACCAUAGUUGGUAGGGUAAUGGCCUACCAAGGCGACGAUCGGUAGCUGGUCUGAGAGGAUGAUCAGCCACAUUUGGAGUGAGACUCGGCCCCGACUCGUACGGGAGGCAGCAGUGGGGAAUACUGUACAAUGGGGGCAUCCUUGAUCCAGCAAUGCCGCGUGUGUGAUGAAGGCCCUAGGGUUGUAAAGCAGCUUCAGCUGUGAAGCAGAUGACGGUAACCAUAGAAGAAGCCCCGGCUAACUUAGUGCCACCAGCCGCGGUAAUA
rnacentral:rRNA from 1 species